rnacentral:rRNA from 1 species
AGGGAAUCUUCCACAAUGGACGAAAGUCUGAUGGAGCAACGCCGCGUGAGUGAUGAAGGUUUUCGGAUCGUAAAACUCUGUUGUAAGGGAAGAACAAGUACGUUAGGAAAUGAACGUACCUUGACGGUACCUUAUUAGAAAGCCACGGCUAACUACGUGCCAGCAGCCGCGGUAAUACGUAGGUGGCAAGCGUUGUCCGGAUUUAUUGGGCGUAAAGCGCGCGCAGGCGGUUUCUUAAGUCUGAUGUGAAGGCCCACGGCUUAACCGUGGAGGGUCAUUGGAAACUGGGAGACUUGAGUGCAGAAGAGGAAAGUGGAAUUCCAAGUGUAGCGGUGAAAUGCGUAGAGAUUUGGAGGAACACCAGUGGCGAAGGCGACUUUCUGGUCUGUAACUGACGCUGAGGCUCGAAAGCAUGGGUAGCGAAC